AAAUCGGUGUUUCUCAACACCACCACACACUUGGGGAUGGGGGGAG
rfam:Chlamydomonas reinhardtii strain CC-503 cw92 mt+ CHLREscaffold_54 genomic scaffold, whole genome shotgun sequence.